AUGGGCGCAAGCCUGAUGCAGCCAUGCCGCGUGUAUGAAGAAGGCCUUCGGGUUGUAAAGUACUUUCAGCAGUGAGGAAGGGGGUGUCGUUAAUAGCGGCAUCUCUUGACGUUAGCUGCAGAAGAAGCACCGGCUAACUCCGUGCCAGCAGCCGCGGUAAUACGGAGGGUGCGAGCGUUAAUCGGAAUUACUGGGCGUAAAGCGCAUGCAGGUGGUUUGUUAAGUCAGAUGUGAAAGCCCGGGGCUCAACCUCGGAACUGCAUUUGAAACUGGCAAACUAGAGUACUGUAGAGGGGGGUAGAAUUUCAGGUGUAGCGGUGAAAUGCGUAGAGAUCUGAAGGAAUACCAGUGGCGAAGGCGGCCCCCUGGACAGACACUG
rnacentral:rRNA from 1 species